AUAUAGAUCUAGUACAGAUAUAUCAAAAAAAUUAAAAUAAAAUAUAUCCCAUAAUGCUCUAGGCAGGGUAAAACUAUGGUUCAUGAGAAGGACGGUGGCAUGAAUCUGUAGAUCCGGGAAUAUUAGGCUGGAAGAGGCGACAAGCAGAAAGGGACGGAAACUAUUAUUAUGAUUUAAGACCCGGUGCUGCCAAGACCGUUGCUUUCUCUCAUCCAUCCUCUCCUGUAGACCAAUCAUCCUUUUAACUGUUGGACUCCAUUCUUUACCCAUGGAGGAGAGCAAUUGAAAAAAUAAUAAUAAAGGAAAAAAAAGGCUAUAGACCCGGAGCCUGUGAAACAGUAAGGUUGUUGGUGCCCAAUUAUAGCUAUAUUGCUACAAGCCUAGACCCUCGGUGUCCAUGGGUUCGAGCGCCACGUUGGGACUACCUUUUUCUUUUUUUAGUUUUAAAUAAAUAGAGAAAUUGUAUACUUUUUAGUGAUGAAUCAUAAAAUCAUUAUUAAUACGUUGAUCAAUAUCGAUUUUGGUACAAAUAUUGUAACAAUGUAUUAUAUCAUCACUAAAAAUAGAGAUUUUUAAUGACCACUCUAUCAUCUCACCAUUAAAUGGUAUAUACCUACAAUAAGAAUUUUAUAAUGUCAUCACUAAAAACAUUAUUUUUUGUGAUGAAUCAUAAAAUAGUCAUUAGUAAGUUGAUCGAUAUCUAUUUUAACAC
rnacentral:lncRNA from 1 species